rnacentral:rRNA from 1 species
ACUCAAAGGAAUUGACGGGGACCCGCACAAGCAGAGGAGGAUGUGGUUUAAUAUGACGCUACGCGUAGAACCUUACCGAGGCUUGACAUCCUUGGAACCCACUGGAAACAGAGGGGUGCCGCAAGGAGCCAAGUGACAGGUGCUGCAUGGCCGUCGUCAGCUCGUGUCGUGAGAUGUUGGGUUAAGUCCCGCAACGAGCGCAACCCUUAUCGUAUGUUGUAUUUUUCAUGCGAGACUGCCCGGGCCAACCGGGAGGAAGGUGGGGAUGACGUCAGGUCGGCAUGGCCCUUACGCCUCGGGCCACACACGUCCUACAAUGGCCGGUACAACGCGUUGCCAAAGCGCAAGCUGGAGCUAAUCGCACCAAAACCGGUCCCAGUUCGGAUUGGGGGCUGCAACUCGCCCCCAUGAAGUCGGAUUUGCUAGUAACCGUGGGUCAGCACACCGCGGUGAAUACGUUCCCGGGUCUUGUACACACCGCCCGU